AUCCAAGGUGAUUCCCUCUCCAAAGGGCUGACUGUGUGGCCUUUUUGGAAUGUAGCAACUUGGAAGAAAGCCAGGCAUGCCUGCCCAAGGCAUACUUGUUUCCUUUGCCUUCUUCCUUUGGCUGCCUACAUGU